rnacentral:rRNA from 1 species
UUGACUCGUAAGGUGAAAGACUUACAUCUCUUCGGAGCAUUUUACGAGGUGCUGCAUGGUUGUCGUCAGCUCGUGCCGUGAGGUGUCGGGUUAAGGUCCCAUAACGAGCGCAACCCCUACCUUAGUUGCCAUCAGGUUAAGCUGGGGACUCUAAAGGAACUGCCUACGCAAGUAGUGAGGAAGGCGGGGAUGACGUCAAAUCAGCACGGCCCUUACGUCCAGGGCUACACACGUGCUACAAUGGCCGAUACAGAGGGCAGCUACCUGGUGACAGGAUGCAAAUCUCCAAAGUCGGUCUCAGUUCGGAUCGGAGUCUGCAACCCGACUCCGUGAAGUUGGAUUCGCUAGUAAUCGCGCAUCAGCCAUGGCGCGGUGAAUACGUUCCCGGGCCUU